rnacentral:rRNA from 1 species
GAUGAACGCUGGCGGCGUGCCUAACACAUGCAAGUCGAGCGAACCUUUCGGGGUGAGCGGCGGACGGGUGAGUAACGCGUGGGUAACCUGCCCUGUACACACGGAUAACAUACCGAAAGGUAUGCUAAUACGGGAUAACAUAUGAGAGUCGCAUGGCUUUCAUAUCAAAGCUCCGGCGGUACAGGAUGGACCCGCGUCUGAUUAGCUAGUUGGUAAGGUAACGGCAUACCAAGGCAACGAUCAGUAGCCGACCUGAGAGGGUGAUCGGCCACAUUGGAACUGAGACACGGUCCAAACUCCUACGGGAGGCAGCAGUGGGGAAUAUUGCACAAUGGGCGAAAGCCUGAUGCAGCAACGCCGCGUGAGCGAUGAAGGCCUUCGGGUCGUAAAGCUCUGUCCUCAAGGAAGAUAAUGACGGUACUUGAGGAGGAAGCCCCGGCUAACUACGUGCCAGCCGCCGCGGUAA